ACCAGGUCUUGACAUCCCGAUGCUAUUUCUAGAGAUAGAAGUUACUUCGGUACAUCGGUGACAGGUGGUGCAUGGUUGUCGUCAGCUCGUGUCGUGAGAUGUUGGGUUAAGUCCCGCAACGAGCGCAACCCCUAUUGUUAGUUGCCAUCAUUCAGUUGGGCACUCUAGCGAGACUGCCGGUAAUAAACCGGAGGAAGGUGGGGAUGACGUCAAAUCAUCAUGCCCCUUAUGACCUGGGCUACACACGUGCUACAAUGGUUGGUACAACGAGUUGCGAGUCGGUGACGGCGAGCUAAUCUCUUAAAGCCAAUCUCAGUUCGGAUUGUAGGCUGCAACUCGCCUACAUGAAGUCGGAAUCGCUAGUAAUCGCGAAUCAGCACGCCGCGGUGAAUACGUUCCCGGGCCUU
rnacentral:rRNA from 1 species